UGGGGAAUAUUGGACAAUGGGCGCAAGCCUGAUCCAGCCAUGCCGCGUGAGUGAUGAAGGCCUUAGGGUUGUAAAGCUCUUUCGGCGGGGAAGAUAAUGACGGUACCCGCAGAAGAAGCCCCGGCUAACUUCGUGCCAGCAGCCGCGGUAAUACGAAGGGGGUUAGCGUUGCUCGGAAUCACUGGGCGUAAAGCGCACGUAGGCGGGUUGCUAAGUCAGGGGUGAAAUCCUGGAGCUCAACUCCAGAACUGCCUUUGAUACUGGCGACCUUGAGUCCGGGAGAGGUGAGUGGAACUGCGAGUGUAGAGGUGAAAUUCGUAGAUAUUCGCAAGAACACCAGUGGCGAAGGCGGCUCACUGGCCCGGUACUGACGCUGAGGUGCGAAAGCGUGGGGAGCAAACAGG
rnacentral:rRNA from 1 species